CAGACUUCCGCUGCAGAAAGUAUUUCGGUAUCGGUGAGCUGCUUUGCAGACCCCUGCGCCAGGCUGCCCUUGUGCCUGAGCUGAGCUUUUGUCUCCCUUCCACCAGCGGUCCUCUUUGUGUCAGAGCAAAGCAUGGGAGUCGCACCACGCGUGACGCCUGCAUGGCAGCACACACCGAGCCGCGGAGACGUCACACAAGCAGAUGUGCCACAGCCCUUUGGCUCUGCAAACCGUGCCGGCUGCUUGCUGUGCGAGAUGGACGUUUCCUUCUG
rnacentral:lncRNA from 1 species